ACUCCUACGGGAGGCAGCAGUGGGGAAUAUUGCACAAUGGGCGCAAGCCUGAUGCAGCCAUGCCGCGUGUGUGAAGAAGGCCUUCGGGUUGUAAAGCACUUUCAGUCGUGAGGAAGGUAGUGUAGUUAAUAGCUGCAUUAUUUGACGUUUAGCGACAGAAGAAGCACCGGCUAACUCCGUGCCAGCAGCCGCGGUAAUACGGAGGGUGCGAGCGUUAAUCGGAAUUACUGGGCGUAAAGCGCAUGCAGGUGGUUUGUUAAGUCAGAUGUGAAAGCCCGGGGCUCAACCUCGGAAUAGCAUUUGAAACUGGCAGACUAGAGUACUGUAGAGGGGGUUAGAAUUUCAGGUGUAGCGGUGAAAUGCGUAGAGAUCGUGAAGGUAAUACCGGUGGCGAAGGCGGCCCCCU
rnacentral:rRNA from 1 species